GAUCUCUUUCUGUUUGCAUUUGAAGUCUGUGAACGAGCGCGCCAAGUUGGCAGCGACGAGAGGUGAGAUAGGUAGUAUGUGACGUGUCAGAUGUCCGACUGAAAUAAGCAGAGGUCAAGGCGUUGAGGACGGGUGAGCAUCUGGAGUCGGUCGUCAGUGUCGUGAGGCGAGACAACACCUGUAGCACUGAUGCGAUUGCAGUUCCCACAGUGGAAGCAUGGCGACGAGGGAUGGACAAGGGACGUGGCGUGACUGGUGAGUAUGCGAGGGGAGAUGACAGGAGAUUCGUUCUCGUAUGUAGCGGGAGCAACGCAACGAUGGCAGGGGGAGGGGAUACAUGACGGAGCCGUGGUACAAGGUGAAGAGCAGACGUAGUGGAUAGCCAGUCUCGGUGCUGCCGGCGAAGGAAGGGUGCUUCCUUGGAGGCGACAAAAUUCGGUUGGAAUGGGGGGCUGAUUAUGAAGAUGUUUGUGUCACACUUCAGGUGAAACAUGCGUUCGGUGGAUGGAGUUACAGAGCAUUGCGCGUUUAUGUGUUUAGGUGACAAACCGUGCGAUAGUAAGGAUGUCAUUGUGUUUCCUCUUCGUGUGUGUGAACGGAUACGCCGAGUUGGCAGCGACGAGAGGUGAGAUAGGUAGUAUGUGACGUGUCAGAUGUCCCAAUGAAAUAUGCAGAGGGCAGGGGGUAGAUUGUGAAUGAAUAUGUGCAGUGGGUGUUCAGCGUUCAGAGGUAAUGCAGCAGACCCUGUAGUACUGUGG
rnacentral:lncRNA from 1 species